ACAUGGAAACCAGGAAGCUUCUCUUAGCGGAGGCUGAGGUGCCAACCUCGGGGGUCCGGGGCUUGUCUGCUGGAGGCCGAGAGGGGGGCCGGCCUUUGUCCUGCACGGGAAGCAGCAGGUCCUGGCACAGAAACGUGCCCCCAAACGUAACCAUGUCAUCACAAUGGGCCCAUCAGACAUAGUUUACAAGAACGGUAUUUUUUUUUUUAACACAAAAGGAGUUUGGUUCUCUCUAAAAACCGAUGGCCCCUCCCUGAGCUUGACACAAGUGAGAAGCAGCUAGAGUCAGUGGGUGACGGGAGCAGGGAACACACUGACGCCCUUGGGUGGGGUCACAGGGCGUCCCAGCGGGCAGAGCCAACCUGGCCUUCUACAUCUGUGGAUCUGGUGGGUCUUGAAACCCUGUCGGGCAUCAGAUAGACGGUCAGGAGUCCCCACCUGGAUCAGCAAGUGCUCACUGCCAGAAAGUUCCACCUGCAGUCCCCCUGCCUUGCUCGACUCUGUGUACCUGACCUCCUGCAGACUGUGGACGGUCACUCACCCCUGAGCGAGAAUGAGAGGACCAGGCCUCGCUGGCUGCGGGGACUCAGCAGGGCUGGAGGAAAGGUGUGGAGAAGGGCAGGAGGAGGUGGAGACACGAGGACCCCGUAUUUUUCCCUCACAUUAAAAGGUCUGUUUUCAGUGAGUUGAAAACAGAUCAAGCUUGACUGCUGGAAUUUCUUCUUGGCUGAAAAAUAAAAGACGUCA